rnacentral:lncRNA from 1 species
ACUCUCUCCCUGCUGGAGUUGCUCCAGUGAAGCAUUGUCUGGUUCCAAAAUCCAGGCAUGAGAGCAUCUCCUUCUCUGCCCAGUGGUUGGUUUACACGUGUCCUGAAGUGAGACUCGUGAUUGUCUGAAUGUGACCAAAUGUCUUGGUGUGUGAGGACUCCAAGCACUAGCCAGGCAGAGAUCCUUCUCCUGCAAUGUCCUGGCAAUGGCUGGCUGAGGUAUAAUGUUCCUCUUUUGCAGGAAACAGCCUGCAGUAGCUUCUGCACACAUUGUGCUGCCCCACACAGUUGUUCCCUUCCUUGUGCUGAAUUAGGACCCUUGGGAAUAAGGGCCAGGCAUUUAAUCCCCAGACACAGUUGCCUUUGUCCUCUGUCCUUCUCCUAGUACCCACUGACCUCAUCUCUUGGUUCCCGUCACUCUUUUCCAGAUAAUGGGGUGCUGACCUCCCUUCUAAAGGUGGACACCCUGAUGAUGCAGGGUAAUAUGGGUAGCUACACUAAUUUAUUCUAUUUCCCUUCCAUGCUGCUCAGCUAGAAUUCUUGUCAUCCUGCCCUCUAAGUUGCUACCCACACCUUCGUGAGGGCAUCUUCAGGGAAAACAAGAAGGUAAACAAUACAACAUGGUUCUCAAGCAAGUGUUCACUUCUCAGUCUUAUAUUUUUCUUUUCUAAUUUUUUAAUGAAAGGAGUAACACAGUCAGCGGUAGAAACUAAAUGGUCUCUGACAAAGGAUAGUCACUGUAUACUUUAUUCGUGUAUGAAGUGUAUUCACAUGAAUUACAAGACUGGUUCAGGCUGAGGCGGUUAAUAUCUAUUAGUAGGAGCUAGGCAGAGCAAUUGGAACAGCUCUUCCAGUUAAAAAAAAAAUUCUUACAAAAACAGGAACUGGCCAGGCACAAGAGUUCACGCCUGUAAUCCCAGCACUUUGGGAGGCUGAGGCAGAUGAAUUACUUGAUCCCAGGGGCAAGACAAGCCUGGGCAACAUAGUGAGACCCCAUCUCUAUUUAAUUAAAAACAAACAAAC